CUGGGUCUCACCAGGUUAAAGACACCUGGGCAGGGUGAGUCUGUCAGGGUUAGGGGUGGUCUAGGCAGCUGUAGAUGGGUCGGCUGGAUAUAGGCAGGGCCUGGGGCAGGGCAGGCACUGAGCAGCACCAUGGUCUUUAUCUCCAGCAGCACUAAGGUGUUAUUCAUCAGAUCCCAACAAUAACAGCACCACCGGGAUCGUGAUGGAUGUGGACUUGGCCUGCAGGGACAGGAGGGAGGGGUGUGGUCAGCACCCAGUGCAGGCUGGCCCUGGUGGCAGGGGACAUAAAGGGCGUCCGGAGAGGAGCCGGCGCAGCCUCGUCCAGACUCCAGGGGACCUGCUCUGCUGCAAGCACAGCGUUGGAGAUGAAGACCCUGCUCCCGACCCUCGUGCUGCUUGGCCUGGUGGCCGCUCUGCAGGCCCAGGACCCCCUGUCCCUCCAGCCAGAGGAGCCGAACCUCAUAGGGACCUGGUACACGAAGGCCUUAGUGAGCAACAUGACCCUGCCGGGACCGAAGACGUUCCAGGUGGUAUUCCCCUCAACGAUGACGGCCCGCGAAGAUGGGAGCCUGCAGGCCAGGGUCACCUUGAUGUGAGUGUGGCCCGUGGGGACCCUCGGUCUCGUGCUCCCCUCCUGUGCCAGC
rnacentral:lncRNA from 1 species